rnacentral:rRNA from 1 species
GUGGGGAAUAUUGGACAAUGGGCGCAAGCCUGAUCCAGCCACGCCGCGUGUGUGAUGAAGGCCUUCGGGUCGUAAAGCACUGUGGGGAGGGAAGAACGGCUAGUGGGCUAAUAUCCCGCUAGCGUGACGGUACCUCCUUAGCAAGCACCGGCUAACUCCGUGCCAGCAGCCGCGGUAAUACGGAGGGUGCAAACGUUGCUCGGAAUCAUUGGGCGUAAAGCGCGUGUAGGCGGCUUGUUAAGUCGGGUGUGAAAGCCCUGGGCUCAACCCAGGAAGUGCGCCCGAAACUGGCGAGCUAGAGUACGGGAGAGGGUAGUGGAAUUCCCGGUGUAGAGGUGAAAUUCGUAGAUAUCGGGAGGAACACCAGUGGCGAAGGCGGCUACCUGGACCGAUACUGACGCUGAGACGCGAAAGCGUGGGUAGCAAACAGGAUUAGAUACCCCGGUAGUCC